GCCGGGCGUGGUGGCGCGCGCCUGUAGUCCCAGCUACUCGGGAGGCUGAGGUGGGAGGAUCGCUUGAGUCCAGGAGUUCUGGGCUGCAGUGCGCUAUGCCGAUCGGGUGUCCGCACUAAGUUCGGCAUCAAUAUGGUGACCUCCCGGGAGCGGGGGACCACCAGGUUGCCUAAGGAGGGGUGAACCGGCCCAGGUCGGAAACGGAGCAGGUCAAAACUCCCGUGCUGAUCAGUAGUGGGAUCGCGCCUGUGAAUAGCCACUGUACUCCAGCCUGGGCAAUAUAGUGAGACCCCGUCUCU
rnacentral:SRP_RNA from 1 species